CGCAACUUUGUCAUGUAUUGUUCAGAACGUUACCGUUGGGUCAAUAUUUUAAGCGUGAACCCAAAAGUGUACAUUUAUGAGCUCUUAACUGGAAGAAUUAAUAUGUCUAGAUUUGUUUAUUCAUAAAAGUGUUAUUAUUAUAAGCAUUUUGAAUCGAGGACUCCUAUAUUUUAUGUCAGCGUUUGACGUUAUGUUUUUCUUACUACUUAGAAUAUUUACUUCCGGAAAUUACAAAUAAAUACCAGUGCAACG
rnacentral:lncRNA from 1 species